rnacentral:rRNA from 1 species
UACGUAGGGUCCGAGCGUUAAUCGGAAUUACUGGGCGUAAAGCGUGCGCAGGUGGUUUUGUAAGCCAGAUGUGAAAUCCCCGGGCUCAACCUGAGAACUGCAUUUGGGACUGCAAGGCUAGAGUACGGCAGAGGGGGGUAGAAUUCCUGGUGUAGCAGUGAAAUGCGUAGAUAUCAGGAGGAAUACCGAUGGCGAAGGCAGCCCCCUGGGUCGAUACUGACGCCUCAUGCACGAAAGCGUGGGGGAGCAAACAGG